UUUUAUACAGCAAAAUUAAGAGAUAAGGUCUAAACAAUAGAGACAGUGUCCAGCAUGGGCCCAUCAGAACCACCCCAGGGGUCAGGUCCAAUGGGAACUGCUCAGGGGUGGGGAGAAGGGGGUUUACAUAAAGAUGCUGAAGCAAAACUUUCCCGAAACAAUGGGGCAUACAUAAAUGUAUAUUUUCCUCAUACCUAAAUGUAUCUUUUCCUCAGUUUCCAAUUCCCAAGGCCUUUCUAAAUCCCUUCCUCCACACUACCACGCCAGCGCGAUAGCAACAUCUCCCUCUUCUUUACUUAAUAAGAUGAACGGUGCCUUGGGAGAAGGUAGAACUGCGGCUCUCAAACUGCGGUGUCUUUCUGCUUGUCGUCUUCCCACCAAUCACCCUCCGUGGCGGCAGCAGCGAUGAGAACAGGUGCGGAAGCCUUAGGCUUCGAGGUGAUGACCUUGGAGAUUAUUCGCUUAAGAAUCCCAAAUGCUAACAGAACUAAAAACAGUGCAGCUAGAAAGUAAAAGAUGUCUUUUAAAAGAGACACUGCCCACCCAGAAAGGUCCCAGUCUUUGAACAGAUCCUUAAACCAAUCCUCAUUUUCUUGCUUCACACUCCCAAUGAGGCUUCUCAUUUCCUGAAUGGACGAGUGGGCACUCUGGCCUUUAGAUGACAGAUCAAAACAACACAACCCAUCAAACUCUUUACAUCCAUGACCAUGUGCCAACAGCAGGAAAUCAAUAGCUGCCCGAUUUUGGAGGGUAGCCUUUCUGGUUAUUUCCUCGUCUUCUAGGAGGUCACUCAGGGCUGCUGAUGUUAAAUUUGCCUGCUUCGUCACCCAGCAUUCCAGAUUGCCUAGUUCACUCAAUGCUUUUGCUGCUGCAACCCAUGGUAAAAACACAGAGACGGCAACUCUUUUGGAUUUUGCCCAAUGGUAAAUUUCUGCAUCACAAUGUUCAUCAAUUUGACUUGCACUUCGCUUAGUAAUUUUUGUCUCACCUUUUGCUCGCCCGAUUGGAAUUUGGGUCAUGUUGGGGGAAGCAAGGGUCAGAUGCCCGAAAGUGCAUGGACCUCCAAUAAGACGAGAGAGGAUUCCUGGGUAUGCUCUGUCCCCACAGAUAAGAAACACUCCUUUGUCCACUUGCGGGGACGGAAAUCAGUGGUGGAUGCAAAUUUCAGCCUAUAGACAGCUGUGCACCAUUGACCCGCCCUGAAUUCCACCUUGUACUGUUUGACUUGCUCAUAUAGUUUUACUUCUUUGGUUGGGGAAAAAUCAAAUUGAAUGCAAUAUUCAGCUUUUGCGGAGCCCAGGAGUUCUAAUUCCUGGGGCUCUCCCUCAGCAGAGGGCAAGUGUAGGAUCCACUUUGCCACAAAAUGAGGGGGUUUUGCACUGGUAUUUUAACUUGUUCUACAGCUCCUCGGUGCUUGUAGAACUCUGCCCCCACCUCAGGUAUUUUAUUUUCAUUCACCUGCUUUUGCGAGCGGACCAGACCGAUUGGGAACUCAUCCCCCUUACUUGGAACCCCUACUAAACAUGUGGACAUCGGAUUUUCUGCUGAGGCAGUAGACAAACACAUGUGAUCUUGUUUCAAGGCUUGGGCGAGUGUGACCCACACAUUUUUCUUGGGCUGUGGAACAAUCCAUGCGUCCACCGUGUAUGGGUAGAUGGCCAUUUUCUGGAACCAAACGAUGAGCAGGAAUGUGGAAAUUGACAUUCUGCUAGUCUGAAAGAAAGAUAAAAUCAUAUAACAAGGUAAACUAACUCUGAAAAAGGUACAAUUUGCUCUGCCAGUAUAAAGGAAAACAGGGAUUAGGGGUCUCCUCCUUCCUUGCGGCGUUUUGUGUUUGACACAACUGCAUUUUCUGUGGGAUUCCCCUGAGCAUCAGGGGGGUUACUCUGUGGUGGACUCACUCCCUGUUCGGCAGUAUAUGGUCUGACCCAUUUCUUAGGGAUCCACCUGAGUCCAGAGGGUGUGGAUACGCACGCAUACCCCCGUCCCCAAGUGAUAAGCUGGUGUGGACCCUGGAUCUCUCCAGAGUCUGGAUCCCUAAUUAACACUGGAGGUCUCUCUUCGGGUCUGAGCUGUUGAUGUUGUUUAAAAUGAUGCAGGACUGGGGGUUCAGGCCUAUCAAAAGAACAAUUUAAGAAGUUAAUGGUGAAAAGGGCUUUGCAGAGCCUCAUCUGCGGAGAUAGGACCUGGAUAUCUCCCCGCUGGCGAAGGAGGACCUUUUUUAAGGUCUGAUGUGUUCUUUCUAUCACAGCCUGGCCGGUGGGGGAGUGUGCAAUUCCUGUCCGAUGGUUCACCCCCCACUCUUGUAAAAACUCACCAAACGCUCUGGAAAUAUAGGCUGGGCCAUUAUCUGUCUUGAUGGUGGUGGGGACCCCUAAGGCUGCAAAUGCCUGCAUAAGAUGUUUUUUGGCAUCUGCAGCUUUCUGUCCAGUGUGGGCUGAGGCAAACACUGCUCCGGAGAAAGUAUCUACUGAAACAUGUACAUGUUGGAACUUCCCGAACUCCUGUAUAUGUGUGAUGUCAGUUUGCCACACUUCACAACUGCGGAGUCCCCUGGGGUUCACUCCUGAACUCACAGUUGGUAAAGUGGACUCCUGACACUGGGGGCAAGCAGCCACAAUUGCAUUGGCUUGGUCACGCCGCAGUUGGAAUUGGUGGACCAGUCCCGGGGCAUUUUGAUGAAGCAAUUGAUGGCUUACCUUGGCCUGUUCGAGGAUGUUUGGUUGGCCAGCCAGCUGCAGAGGAGCAGCCAGUGCAUCUGCCCUACGAUUACCUUCAGCUAUAAAACCUGGAAGAUCUGUGUGUGAUCUCACAUGCAUUACAAAAAAAGGCUGCUCUCGGUGUGAAACUAGAAAGAUUAGUUUUGAGAGCAAACUGAAUAUCACUGGGUUGGAAACCUCUUUGAGUACUGCAUGUUCUGCCCUGGACACCACACCUGCUACAUAUGCUGAAUCUGUAACUAUAUUAAUUGGUUCUGAAAACUUUUCAAAGGCCCUGACAACAGUGUCCAGCUCGGCAACCUGUGGGGAGCCCUCCACAACCUUUACAUCAGCUUCCCACUGCUGAGUCUGGGGGUCUUUCCAUGUGAUCACAGAUUUGUGGGACCCUCCCGACGCGUCUGUGAAAACUGUCAGUGCUUUCAGUGGUUCACUGCUCUGGAUACUUUUUGGGAUCAAAUGAAACUCUGUUUCAAACAAUCUGUGGCCUGGAUGGUUGAUGAGAAUUUGUCCAGUGAAACUGUCUAGGGAGAAUUGCAAGUUUUCAUUGGUCUGAAACAGGUGUUCGAGUAUUUCCUUAGAGAGUCUCCCUGUGGAUAUUUUGAUAGGGAGAUGAAUGCAUGCGAAGUCACACCCUGCCAACACCUGCAAGCGAGCCCUGGCCCUCAUGAUCAGCUGGGCCAUCAACUCUUGUGGCUUGGUGAUACUUUUGGACAACUGAUGACCAAGGAACACCCACUCUAUAAUUAAGAGGGGAUCCCGAUGGUCUGUGUCCCAUUGAAAGAUCAACCCAUGGAGGUGUGGCAACUUACCAAGGAUGAUGAAUCGGAAAGGCAAGCCCUCACGACACCUGUGGGCCUGUCUGUCUGCUAGGGUGGACUGAAUUUUCUCCAAAGCAGCCCUGGCCUCCUGGGUCAGGGCCCUCGGGGAGUCUAACUCUUCCCCCCUUUUAAUAAAUUGAAGAUGGGGGACAACUCUCCCGUGGUGAGCCCCAGCCAGGGUCUGACCCAAUUUAGAGACCCACAAAGCUGGUGGAGGUCUUGUAAUGUUUUUGGAUCAUCAUUUAUCAUUGGUCUCUGGGGUGUGAUGGUUCUGUUACCAAUUUCAAGGCCCAGAUACUUCCAAGGCGGCAGGUGCUGCACCUUUUCCUUUUGCAACUCAAAUCCAGCCGCCGACAAAGCUGAGAUAGUGUCCUCCAAUGCCUUUGCAAGUACGUUGUCACUGUUGGCACAAACAAGGACAUCAUCCAUGUAAUGAUACAAAAUGCAAUCCUUCCACUUGGCACGGACUGGGGACAGAACUCUGGCCACAUACCACUGGCAGAUGAUGGGAGAGCAUUUGAGACCCUGAGGAAGAACCGUCCAAUGGUAGUGUUUCAUGGGAGCCGCUCUGUUAAGAGAGGGCUCAGAAAAGGCAAAGCAUGGCGCAUCAUCUGGGUGUAGGGGAAUUUGGAAGAAGCAGUCUUUGAUAUCAAGCACUGCCAAUUUCCAAUUCUGGGGAAGCAUAGAUGGGGAAGGCAUUCCUGGUUGAAGAGAUCCCAUGUCCUCAAUGACGUUAUUAAUUUUUCUCAGAUCGUGGAGGAGCCGCCACUUGUCUUUCCCCGGUUUCUUGAUAACAAACACCGGAGAAUUCCAAGGGCUCUGGGUUUCUACUAUAUGUCCCUUUGCCAAUUACUCUUCUACAAUUUGAGAGAGUGCUCUUGUCUUUUCUGUAGUCAGCGGCCACUGGUCUACCCAGACGGGUGUAUCUGUGAGCCACUUAAAUUUUUGGGUAGGGCGCUCCUCAGUGGCCGCACCUAAAAAUCCUGGGGGCUUGGUAGUUCUAACUUCGCCCCCCAUUGGGACAUGGCAUCUCUUCCCCAGAGGGUGAAUUUUGAAUCCAGAACAAAUGGGCGUAGAGAUGCUGAUUGCCCAUUUGGUCCCUUGAUUUGGACCACAUUUUUGGACUGUUGUGCUACUUUUGGACCUCCCACACCUAUAACUGGGUGGCCUACAUUUUCCAACUCCCAUUGCUUUGGCCAUUUUUGAGGAGGAAUGACUGUCACAUCUGCCCCGGUGUCCAUCAUCCCCUGAAGGAGAACGGAAUGGCCCUCGCUCUGGAGGCCACACCACACAAGGGGUUUCUCUUCCCCCAGCAUCUCAGUGUAAAAGACUGAGAGGGCAUGAUCAUCACACAAAAGAUGGGGCACUGGAAUGGCCUGCGCAAUGAUCUGUCCCUCCGCCAGGAAGAGAGGAGGGUGGACACAGCAUGCCAUGAGAUAGAAGGUCCUGGGAUCGAGUGAAACGAUGCCAGGAGGGAUUUCUGUCUCCUUAGGAGUGUACUUUGUGUCCCCAAUGACAAGGUACUUGCAGUUUAGUAGAUCAUUCCGUCUGCGAGUUUCGCAGUCCCGAAUGCGGGGCAGGAGCUCUGCUGUAGCUGUGAUGAAAUG
ensembl:lncRNA